rnacentral:rRNA from 1 species
UACGUAGGGCGCAAGCGUUGUCCGGAAUUAUUUGGGCGUAAAGAGCUCGUAGGCGGUCUGUCGCGUCGGCUGUGAAAUUUCGAGGCUCAACCUCGAACUUGCGGUGGGUACGGGCAGACUAGAGUGUGGUAGGGGAGACUGGAAUUCCUGGUGUAGCGGUGAAAUGCGUAGAUAUCAGGAGGAACACCUGUGGUGUAGACAGCUUACUGGACCACUUCUGACGCUGAGACACGAAAGCGUGGGUAGCAAACAGG